rnacentral:rRNA from 1 species
GGAGGUUACUGCUAUCGGUGUUCGCCUACCCCAUGCGAGUCAUAUGUUCUUCGUGAACAUGGCGUACUGCUCAGUAACACGUGAAUAACCUGCCCUUGGGACCGGCAUAACCCCGGGAAACUGGGGAUAAUUCCGGAUACCGCAUAUAUGCUGGAAUGCUUUAUGCGUGAAAUGGAUUCGUCUGCCCAAGGAUGGGUCUGCGGCCUAUCAGGUAGUAGUGGGUGUAAUGUACCUACUACCCUACAACGGGUACGGGUUGUGAAAGCAAAAGCCCGGAAAUGGAUUCUGAAACAUGAAUCCAGGCCCUACGGGGCGCAC